rnacentral:rRNA from 1 species
GAUGGGAUGAACUAAGCCAUGCGAGUCAUUGUAGCAAUACAAGGCAGACGGCUCAGUAACGCGUAGUCAAUCUACCCUAUGGACGGGGAUAACCUCGGGAAACUGAGAAUAAUACUCGAUAGAACAUUAUGCCUGGAACGGUUUAUGUUUCAAAUGAUUUAUCGCCAUAGGAUGGGACUGCGGCCUAUCAGUUUGUUGGUGAGGUAAUGGCCCACCAAGACUAUUACAGGUACGGGCUCUGAGAGGAGUAGCCCGGAGAUGGGUACUGAGACACGGACCCAGGCCCUAUGGGGCGCAGCAGGCGAGAAAACUUUGCAAUGUGCGAAAGCACGACAAGGUUAACCCGAGUGGUUUCUGCUAAAGGAACCUUUUGUCAGUCCUAGAAACACUGACGAAUAAGGGGUGGGCAAGUUCUGGUGUCAGCCGCCGCGGUAAAACCAGCACCUCAAGUGGUCAGGAUGAUUAUUGGGCCUAAAGCAUCCGUAGCUCGUUUUGUAAGUUUUCGGUUAAAUCCAUACGCUCAACGUAUGGGCUGCCGGGAAUACUGCAUGACUAGGAAGUGGGAGAGGUAGACGGUACUCGAUAGGAAGGGGUAAAAUCCUUUGAUCUAUUGAUGACCACCUGUGGCGAAGGCGGUCUACCAGAACACGUUCGACGGUGAGGGAUGAAAGCUGGGGGAGCAAACCGGAUUAGAUACCCGGGUAGUCCCAGCUGUAAACUAUGCAAACUCAGUGAUGCAUUGGCUUGUGGCCAAUGCAGUGCUGCAGGGAAGCCGUUAAGUUUGCCGCCUGGGAAGUACGUACGCAAGUAUGAAACCUAAAGGAAUUGGCGGGGGAGCACCACAAGGGGUGAAGCCUGCGGUUCAAUUGGAGUCAACGCCGGG